AGAGCGAACGCUGGCGGCAGGCCUAACACAUGCAAGUCGAGCGCCCCGCAAGGGGAGCGGCAGACGGGAUAGUAACACGUGGGAACGUACCCUUCAGCUCGGAACAACCCAGGGAAACUUGGGCUAAUACCGGAUACGUCCGUAAGGAGAAAGAUUUAUCGCUGAGGGAUCGGCCCGCGUCUGAUUAGCUAGUUGGUGGGGUAAUGGCCCACCAAGGCGACGAUCAGUAGCUGGUCUGAGAGGAUGAUCAGCAUCACUGGGACUGAGACACGGCCCAGACUCCUACGGGAGGCAGCAGUGGGGAAUAUUGGACAAUGGGCGCAAGCCUGAUCCAGCCAUGCCGCGUGGAUGAUGAAGGCCCUAGGGUUGUAAAGUCCUUUCGGCGGGGAAGAUAAUGACGGUACCCGCAGAAGAAGCCCCGGCUAACUUCGUGCCAGCAGCCGC
rnacentral:rRNA from 1 species